GUUGGAGAUGACAUCCCAUAGGCCAUCACUGGCCAGGACGAGGAAUUCAUCAUUUUCAGUUCGCUUAUCCACGGUGACUUCUGGUUUGGAGGAUACAAAUGGUUUGAGAUACUGAUCACCUGCAUCAAGAUGUUAAAGCCAUCAACUCUCAAGGAUGGUUAACAGCAGUUUACUAGUGAUCAACGUGAUCUGGUUGUGCUCUGCCCUAGCUGUAAGGCAGCACAGGUCUAGCUACUAGUCCCCCAUUACUAAAUUAUCAUGAGGCUCCGAUUGUUUUUGUGAUGCGGUCUGCAUUUUAUGUCAAUCAUAAAUUUAAAAAUAUUCGGUAAUCUCUUGAAACCUUGACAAUUCAUAGACUUAAUAAAUAUAGCACAGAAAAUUCAUCGUAAACGAAUAAGUUUAAAUGUGAGUGAUCUGUUUGAAAUUUGAUACAGCAUAAUUUUUCGUGUACCAUGCAAGUGAGGAAGAAACUAGACAAAAACAUGUAUGGAGACGCCAGCAAAGAAGAAACAUGAGAGAACAAGAUGAUCUAGCUUCCGACUUGUAAUAAUUGAUGGAAGUUUCACAUACCUAUAGAUCUGGAAGUGGCAAGAACUCCUAGAACACGGUGUCCGUUCCAGUUUAUAACCCUUCCACCUGCAGCUUCAACUCUCUCCAACUCAUCAGGUCUGUCAGGCUUCGCAAAAAAGAGGUGUCAACAAAUUAUUCAUCUUAAACAUUAAAAAAAGAAAGAGACUAAACCUUUAAAAAACAAUGGUCAUAUAGCAUAAUUUGUUCAAACAUUAUAUUUUCCAUUUUUCCCUUUUAUUUUUGAUUAAAUGACCCCUUUUAAGAUCUGUAGCUUGGAAGCUCAACCUCAGAAGGAGUGGAUUAAUUCUGAUUGCUUUUUCCCAAAUUAUUUGCAGUAACUGUGUCCAGUUCAGGGGAAAAUUAGCACCACAGAUGAAUGCCAAAUUUCAUAAUGUGAUUGGGUAACAGAUCACAUUGUCUUAAAUUGAAGACAACAUGUCAAGAAAAUCCCAGGUCGGCUAAGGAAUUUUAUCAAGAACACAACUGAUAAGUCCACAAAAUCCCAGGAGCGAGUUCCAUCCUUGAAAUGAUGAAAUCUAUUGGCAUCUCUUACCUCUACUUCUCUCCCUCUGACAAUAGAGAAGUGUUUGAAUGCUGCGUGACAAUCUCCAUAGACGCGAAGGUUUUUGAACACCCUAAUGGGUUUUGAACUGGAUGUGCUUAUAAGACGAAGUGCUACAACAAUUUUCUCACUGUGCUGAAGCAAGUAGAAGGGCUACGCAAACAUAUCUGCAGAAAGUGAGGCGUUCUAUAAUCUUUGAGGGUGUCAUAUUUGUCCAACUGAAAGCAAGGCAUGUACUAUAAUCUUCGUACAUUGAACAAUGAUGGUGUUUGGGAUGCAAACUAAGUAUAAAUAUUUGAACUCUGUUCUUUUGAUUCUCAAAGUGAUAAGAAUGGCUGUCAUUUCUUGAGUUCAA